GCCACCUGUAUUUUAUCAUGAACUGGUAGUAGGUUUGUAGGUUAUUUCAGUUGCUUGCAGAUUCUUGUAUGUUCUUUUUAUUCCACGAGCUCUUGUAACCCUUCAGAAAAAUGACCAUGGUCAGGAGAACAGGUUUUAAAAAGCCUUGGAAUCACAAAUUUACAGAGAGCUGCAGGAGAUCGUGGAUUGCUGGAGCUGAACAGAUGGAUGGAGCGCACACCUUGCUAAAGGGUAAGUA